CUUAAAAAUUGAGGAGGAGUUGAAUGAUCAGAUAAUUAAUCUUUAUUGUAGUGUACUGCAAAAACGGACGGAUCAGUGUGUACAGAAAGUGUCCCGUGCAGAUUGUCUGAUUCUGACCUCAAUUUUUGAAGGGAGGAAAAGCGUAACUUGGUUUAAAAAGGACGAUAUACAACAGUAUGACACUGUCAUUGGGUGCAUUAAUGACGGGAAGUGUCAUUGGGUUGCUGUGGUUAUGGAUGUCCAACACCAUAUUGUGACAAUUAUGGACCCGCUCAAAAUAUCAAAGAAAUUGAGAACAUAUGAAAAGAAUUUCAACUACUUCACUAAAAGCAGAGAUCUUGGUACAUGGACAAUCUGUACAGCAGUUGGGUAUCCUCUGCAAAAUGAUUUUAGCUCAUGUGGUGUUUAUUGUUUGAAGUUCCUCGACCGAUACCUAAGUAAGACAGAUACAUCUUUGGAAUUAAACGUCCAAGCUGAAAGAUUCACAAUUGGCAGUGAAAUUGUUCAAGCUGUGC